GGGGAAUAUUGCACAAUGGGCGCAAGCCUGAUGCAGCCAUGCCGCGUGUGUGAAGAAGGCUUUCGGGUUGUAAAGCACUUUCAGUUGUGAGGAAGGCUUCGUAGUUAAUACCUGCGAAGAUUGACGUUAGCAACAGAAGAAGCACCGGCUAACUCCGUGCCAGCAGCCGCGGUAAUACGGAGGGUGCAAGCGUUAAUCGGAAUUACUGGGCGUAAAGCGCGCGUAGGCGGCGUGUUAAGCCAGAUGUGAAAGCCCCGGGCUCAACCUGGGAACUGCAUUUGGAACUGGCAUGCUAGAGUACAGUAGAGGGUGGUGGAAUUUCCAGUGUAGCGGUGAAAUGCGUAGAGAUUGGAAGGAACAUCAGUGGCGAAGGCGGCCACCUGGACUGAUACUGACGCUGAGGUGCGAAAGCGUGGGGAGCAAACAGG
rnacentral:rRNA from 1 species